rnacentral:rRNA from 1 species
UUCAACUAUAAUACUUUAAGUAUUUUAGUUUCCCGAAAUAGGUAGAGCUAAUUAUUGUAAGACAUUAGUAUAUAUUACCAUAAUGUAGCAUAAUUAUUAGUAUAACAAUAAUUAGGGGUGAAAGGCUUAUCAAUACCUACAGUUAUCUGGAUGAACCCCAAAAAUAUUUAGUAUUAAGAAAACAAAUAUAAAAUUUUAAGGUUUUAUAUGAAGAAAAUAGUGUCUGUCCAGAAAAAUUUAAUAAAUUAAUAUUUAAUUUCCUUACAAUAAAAUUGAAUUAAAUUACUACCAAAUUUUGUGAUUUAAGGUUCUAUUUAUUUCUAAAUUCAUAGAGGAAUUAAUAUUGUUUAAAUAAGUAAUAUAAAGAAAUAUAUAAAAGUAACUCGGCAAAUAUAAAUCUUAACUGUUUAUCAAAAACAUAGCUAGUUGAAUUUUUAUAAUUAGUUAUUUCUGCCCGGUGAACAUGUUUUAACGGCCGCAGUACACUGACUGUGCAAAGGUAGCAUAAUAAUUUGACUUUUAAUUGAAGUCUAGAAUGAAAGGAGAUAUGGGGUGAUGCUGUCUCUUAUUUAUUUAUAUUAAUUUACUUGAGAAAGUGAAAAGACUUUCAAUCCGCUAAAAGACGAGAAGACCCUAUGAAUUUUCAAUUAACAAAAGCACAUUAAUGCUCUUAAAUUUUUGUUGGGGCAACAAAAUAACAAAAACGUUAAUUUCGUCUCUGAAUUCAUUUUAAUAUUGAGUGAAUAGUUAAGCUAUAUACAUUAUAUAUCGAAUGUUAUUAAUAAAAAUUAAAUUACUGUAGGGAUAACAGCAUAAUUAUAUAAGUUAGAUUAUGACCUCGAUGUUGGACUAGGAAACAAUUGGAGUAGCACUUUAAUUGGACUGUUCUGUUCGAACAAUGUUUCCU